GGCGGUUGGGCGGCCGUUGGCAGGACCCCCUCCGUACCUGCGCGCGGGCUUUUGGCGGGCGCCGCUGAGGAGAAGGAGGAGGAGGCGGUGUGGCGGGCAGUCAUGCCGGGCAGCGACACGGCGCUGGCCGUGGACAGAACGUACUCGGACCCGGAGCGGCACCGUCGCCGCAAGACGCGGGUGGAAAGACAUGACAUGAAUACUCUGAGUUUACCGCUUAGCAUUCGCCGUGGAGGCUCUGACACCAACCUGAACUUUGACGUACCAGAUGGGGUCCUAGAGUUUCACAAAGUCAAACUCAGUGCAGAUAGCUUGAAACAGAAAAUCCUCAAGGUUACAGAACAAAUCAAAGUUGAACAAACAGCUCGAGAUGGAAACGUGGCUGAAUAUUUGAAACUGGUAAACAGUGCAGACAAGCAACAGGCUGGGCGCAUUAAACAAGUCUUUGAGAAGAAGAACCAGAAAUCUGCCCACUCCAUUGCCCAGCUGCAGAAGAAAUUGGAACAGUACCACAAAAAGCUCAAGGAUAUUGAACAAAAUGGCUCUUCCAAAAGCACUAAGGAUACUUCCAAAGAUAACUUGAAAGACAUUCAGCAUGGAAAGUCUCGUACCUCUGGGCAUGGAACAGAGAGCAGCAAGUCAGGGGUGCCGGGUGUGUCCUUGACACCGCCUGUCUUUGUUUUCAGCAAGUCUAGAGAGUUUGCAAACCUGAUCCGAAACAAAUUUGGUAGCGCAGACAACAUUGCUCAUCUCAAAAAUACCAUGGAUGAAUUUCGGCCAGAAUCGAGUUCUAGAACAUACGGGGGCAGUGCCACCAUUGUUGCCAAACCAAAAUACGUUAGUGAUGAUGAGUGCUCCAGCGGGACCUCUGGCUCAGCAGAUAGCAAUGGCAAUACUUCCUUUGGUCCUGCUGUGGCAGGUACUCUGGACAGCCAAGGAAAACUUUCCAUGAUUUUGGAAGAACUAAGGGAAAUCAAGGAGACACAGUCCCAAUUAGCUGAUGACAUUGAGAAUUUAAAAGCACAAUUUAAAAAAGACUAUGGCUUUAUUUCUCAGAUGUUACAAGAGGAAAGAUAUAGAUAUGAAAGAUUGGAAGACCAGUUAAAUGACCUCACUGAUCUUCAUCAACAUGAGACAGCAAACUUGAAACAAGAGCUGGCCAGCAUAGAGGAGAAAGUGGCGUAUCAAGCAUACGAGCGAUCACGAGAUGUUCAGGAAGCCUUGGAAUCAUGCCAGACCCGGGUUUCAAAGCUGGAGCUUCAUCAGCAAGAACAGCAAGCGCAGCAGUCCGAAACGGUUAAUGCCAAAGUGCUCCUGGGGAAAUGUAUAAAUGUUAUCCUGGCCUUCAUGACUGUCAUCUUGGUGUGUGUCUCUACUAUUGCAAAGUUCAUUGCUCCUAUGAUGAAGAGCCGUUUUCAUAUCAUCUGCACUUUUUUCGCAGUGACACUGCUGGCAAUAUUUUGUAAAAACUGGGAUCAUAUCAUUUGUGCCAUAGAAAGGAUGAUUAUACCAAGAUGAAGCUGCUGGUCUGCCUGCUUUCUUUUUCCUUUUUUUUUUUUUUCUUUACCUCCCUGUUUUUUAAGUGCUGUAUGUACAGAUUAUGUUUUGUCAGUUUAAAUGUGCGGACUGGCUGGAGAAGGCUACAAAGACCCUUGGACUUUAAGGUGUAAAUACGUAAAUGCGUAUUUGUUGGCAGUCACUUGCCUGUUCGAGCCGAUUGUGUCUAAUUGGCAGUGAUGAACUGCUCGCUUAUGUCGGUCUUCUGCCUUAAUCCAACAGGUUUUCCACUCUACAGACCCACACCCACAAAAGGGGGUAUGAUGCUCUGGGAGGGAUCCAAGCAACUGUGUGUCGGGUGUGCUUUUUUCUAUGAGACUGGAGUGCAAAAAGUGUGAUUGGGAGGGAGUGCACCAUAAUGUGUAUCAGCCCUGUUAGACUAAUAAAUUAAUUUUCUCUCUGAAUCUAACUAGAAUGAUAAGCCAAAUUAUACGGUCAUAUGUAUUAAUAGUUCUUGAUUCUAAAUUAAUGGAUAUCUGUAUAUGGGGUUUCUGUAUAGUUUUCAGGACCAGCAAAACGUGAUUCAUCUCCUAGUAACCUUUUACACAGAGGGUUUAUUGUUUGUAAAUUAGACCAGUGAUGACUGUUGACCACAGUUAGUGGUUGUUCUGUCCUGGCACUGUUCCUUAUCACGCUUGGGAAACACACAAAUGUGGCCUAAGGCUUCCAAAGCUGAACUGAACUGAAUGACAAGAUCUCAGUGCCACUUUGUAAAGGAGUAAAGAAGCAAGUAACUGGUGGGUAAGCUGUCACGCAGACCAAAGCACUCCCUUCCCUCAAGCCCUGCAACCUGCAAGGGGAAAGGAGUACACAGCAAGGCAACAUUUAGGUUAGCCUUUGUGAGCACUGAAUUGUUGGGGUGCUCUAACUGAACGCAGAGCAGAGAGGUGCUGGGACCCUGGGUAUAGUGGAUUUCUUUCUUCUGUCAGAUUAAGCAAUGUGGAAAAAACAUGAGGGAACAGCUUUGGGGAGCAGGGAGUUAAACUACUGUAAAUAUACAACCACUGUGCAGACUCUCUUGACAAACAUUCCUGAAAAUAAUGUAUUAGCAUACAGUACCACUACUAGGAAACAGGGUUGGGUUUGUUUUCUCACUGGAAUUUAUUUUGCUUGAUUUAAGAACUGCAAAAAAGUUUCCCUGAAAUUUGCUUGGCUUUCAGCCAUGAUGUAAAACAAGACCUUUAAUAAAAACAAAACAAAACAAAAAACAAACCAAACCACCACAA